UUCUGCUCAGGAUGACGCUGCGGCGUGCUUAACACAUGCAAGUCGAACGGUGAAGCCCAGCUUGCUGGGUGGAUCAGUGGCGACGGGUGAGUAACCCGUGAGCAAUCUGCCCCUGACUCUGGGAUAAGGCGCUGGAAACGGCGUUUAAUACGGGAUAUAAGCUGGGAUCCCAUGGCCAGAAGCUGGAAAGAUUUUUUGGUCAGGGAUGAGCUCGCGGCCUAUCAGCUUGUUGGUGAGGUAAUGGCUCACCAAGGCGUCGACGGGUAGCCGGCCUGAGAGGGUGACCGGCCACACUGGGACUGAGACACGGCCCAGACUCCUACGGGAGGCAGCAGUGGGGAAUAUUGCACAAUGGGCGCAAGCCUGAUGCAGCAACGCCGCGUGAGGGAUGACGGCCUUCGGGUUGUAAACCUCUUUUAGCAGGGAAGAAGCGAAAGUGACGGUACCUGCAGAAAAAGCGCCGGCUAACUACGUGCCAGCAGCCGCGGUAAUACGUAGGGCGCAAGCGUUAUCCGGAAUUAUUGGGCGUAAAGAGCUCGUAGGCGGUUUGUCGCGUCUGCUGUGAAAUCCCGAGGCUCAACCUCGGGUCUGCAGUGGGUACGGGCAGACUAGAGUGCGGUAGGGGAGAUUGGAAUUCCUGGUGUAGCGGUGGAAUGCGCAGAUAUCAGGAGGAACACCGAUGGCGAAGGCAGAUCUCUGGGCCGUAACUGACGCUGAGGAGCGAAAGGGUGGGGAGCAAACAGGCUUAGAUACCCUGGUAGUCCACCCCGUAAACGUUGGGAACUAGUUGUGGGGUCCAUUCCACGGAUUCCGUGACGCAGCUAACGCAUUAAGUGCCCCCGCC
rnacentral:rRNA from 1 species